GUUUCCAUAGUGUAGCGGUCAUCAUGUCUGCUUUACACGCAGAAGGUCCUCGGUUCAACCUCCAGUGGAACCA
rnacentral:tRNA from 1 species